rnacentral:rRNA from 1 species
GACGAACGCUGGCGGCGUGCUUAACACAUGCAAGUCGAACGGAAAGGCCCUGCUUUUGUGGGGUGCUCGAGUGGCGAACGGGUGAGUAACACGUGAGUAACCUGCCCUUGACUUUGGGAUAACUUCAGGAAACUGGGGCUAAUACCGGAUAGGAGCUCCUGCUGCAUGGUGGGGGUUGGAAAGUUUCGGCGGUUGGGGAUGGACUCGCGGCUUAUCAGCUUGUUGGUGGGGUAGUUGCUUACCAAGGCUUUGACGGGUAGCCGGCCUGAGAGGGUGACCGGCCACAUUGGGACUGAGAUACGGCCCAGACUGCUACGGGAGGCAGCAGUGGGGAAUAUUGCACAAUGGGCGGAAGCCUGAUGCAGCAACGCCGCGUGCGGGAUGACGGCCUUCGGGUUGUAAACCGCUUUCGCCUGUGACGAAGCGUGAGUGACGGUAAUGGGUAAAGAAGCACCGGCUAACUACGUG